CACCAUCGAAGCGAUCGAGUAGGAAUUGGCAAAAAUGCCGAGAGCCGGAGGAAUUAAUAGCUACCACACUACCAGCAGCCUGCCACCAAAUGUGCUGCUAGCUAGCUAGGAAUGAGCGACACCAGAGAAACUUGUUCUGUCAAUGGUGGAGUAAGCCGCUCAUGACUUCUACCUCAAUCUUGUGGCGGCAACCAUUACCAGAGUGGGUCAAUGUUGAGUGGCCCAAGGGAUUGAGCAGCGGUUGACAUUAUCGUCAGCGUCAAGCGCGCAUGCAAGCUCACAACAGGAUGAUGGUUGGCCAUCCGGCUGAGGGCCGGUGCGCGCGUCCGGCGGCAAGGCAUGCACUCUCAAACAGGAAGUUGGUUAUCAAGGAAAAGGGAAGGAAGAAGCUCUUCUAUUCUAUAGAUGAUAUAGGAGUAUGCCGGAAACCGGAAAAGAGCGUUGAUGAGUUUUUUCCUCCCUCUGAUCUAUAGGUGAUGUAUGAGUCUCAAAAGAACAUUGAUGAGGCAUGCUUGAUCUAUAGGCUUUUUACAAAUAUUUUUCACAUCUAAAUCAUUGUCAAAUGGUGAUCUUCUGAUGGACAUGCAUGGCUGGGGUGGUCGUCAUAGUUUUCAUUAUUCAUCGAUCACCCCCGACUAAA
rnacentral:lncRNA from 1 species